CUUUACCAAAAUUAUUUAUUUUAUUUUUAAUUUAUUUUUUCAACUUUUAUUGUUGUAGAAGCCCGCCCAUUUUUUUCCCUCUCUCUCUCCCUCUUUCACCGUCUCUCCCACACUUUUCCUCUCAAAUCGAUUACUGCAAAGAGCAUCAGCCGUCUCCCUCUCUCCCGCUUGCCCCGCCACCACUGCGAGUCUUCCGCGGUCAGGCCCCCACGCCGUGAGCACCAUCCACUGUCGCCCCUCCCUCUGCCAUCGCCCCCACCCACUGGCCCCCAGUCGUUCGCACCGCCUUCCGUCGCCCCUACCUGCUAGCUCCUUCGACUAACCAACGCCGCCCGUAGGUUGCCCCCCCUCCCCCCACUGCCGUUUGUCCCCACCCACCGCCGCUUGCACCACACAUAAUAGGGAGUUAGGGUUUGUAAAGACGGCCAAAUCGUUUCUUUUGCUUGGGAGCUAUGAAAGUUCUGAUUGUGAUUGCACUUCAUUUAUUGUGAUUCCAUUCUCCAGGUUGUAAAUUUAUUUGAUUUCACAACUGAGCUUUUUGGAUCAGCAUUUCCUUGUAUUGGAGUCCCAUGUGAAUUGUCAAAGAUGUCUCAAAACAGGUUGAUGGAGUAGGAUUUGAGCAAGUUGGAGCAUUUAAGUGCGCGCUGAUGUCCAUUUUAUCUCAUUGCAUUUUGGAAUUGAAUUUUAUUCUAUUGCCAAGAAAUUUUUAUCUUUUUUAUAUGAUGGUUGCUUUACUGGCAGCUAAUGCCAAAAACAGGCGUUGAGGGGAGACUUACAAGAUAUUGAAUUAAACAGAGAAUAGAGCAAAUGGCUCUUGAGAUCAUACGAUGGCAUAAAGUGUCACUGUAAAUUACAACUAUUUGUGCUUUAAUAUUUGAUUAUGAUAAUCAUCUUUUAUUUCUUCU